rnacentral:rRNA from 1 species
GUUUCUCCACAAACAUGUCUUUUUGAAUUUAAUUUAAAGUCUAACCUGCCCACUGAAAUUUUUAAAUGGCCGCAGUAUUCUAACUGUGCAAAGGUAGCAUAAUCAUUAGUCUUUUAAUUGAAGGCUGGAAUGAAUGGUUGGACGAAAUAUUAACUGUUUCAAUUUAACUUUUUUUAGAAUUUUAUUUUUUAGUCAAAAAGCUAAAAUAUUUUUAAAAGACGAGAAGACCCUAUAAAUCUUUAUAUUUUGUUUAUUUUAAUUAUAAAGAUUAAUUUUAUUAUAAUAAAUUAAAAUAUUUUAUUGGGGUGAUAUUAAAAUUUUAAGAACUUUUAAUUAUAAAAUUCAUUAAUUUAUGAAUAAUUGAUCCAUUAAUAAUGAUUAAAAAUUUAAGUUACUUUAGGGAUAACAGCGUAAUUUUUUUGGAGAGUUCAUAUCGAUAAAAAAGAUUGCGACCUCGAUGUUGGAUUAAGAUAUAAUUUUGGGUGUAGCCGUUCAAAUUUUAAGUCUGUUCGACUUUUAAAUUCUUACGUGAUCUGAGUUCAAACCGGGAAGGA